AUGCUGGCGCGACGAUGCUCCAACGCAGCGCCAACCGCGCAUCGCAGCUCCAGCCAUGCUUCAUUGCAGCCUCGACGCCGGCGCGACGAUGCUCCAACGCAGCGCCGGUGGCCCGUCGCAGCUCUGUCCAUGCUUCAUUGCAGCCUCUUCACCAGUGCGGCGGUGCUCGAUCCAACGCAACGUCGACAGCCCAUCGCAACUCCGGUCAUGCACUCAUGCUUCAUUGCAGCUUGUCACCGGUGCGGUGGUACUCCAACGCAGCGCCGACGGCCCGUCGUAGCUCCGGUCAUGCACUCAUGCUUCAUUGCAGCUUGUCACCGAUGCGGUGGUGCUCCAACGCAGCGCCGACCUGUGUUUUGA
rnacentral:rRNA from 1 species